rnacentral:rRNA from 1 species
CAGCAGCCGCGGUAAUACGGAGGGUGCAAGCGUUAAUCGGAAUUACUGGGCGUAAAGCGCACGCAGGCGGUCUGACAAGUCAGAUGUGAAAUCCCCGGGCUUAACCUGGGAACUGCAUUUGAAACUGUCAGGCUGGAGUCUUGUAGAGGGGGGUGGAAUUCCAGGUGUAGCGGUGAAAUGCGUAGAGAUCUGGAGGAAUACCGGUGGCGAAGGCGGCCCCCUGGACGAAGACUGACGCUCAGGUGCGAAAGCGUGGGGAGCAAACAGGAUUAGAUACCCCUGUAGUCCCUGUCUCUUAUAC